UGGGGAAUAUUGGACAAUGGGCGAAAGCCUGAUCCAGCAAUGCCGCGUGAGUGAUGAAGGCCUUAGGGUUGUAAAGCUCUUUUACCAGGGAUGAUAAUGACAGUACCUGGAGAAUAAGCUCCGGCUAACUCCGUGCCAGCAGCCGCGGUAAUACGGAGGGAGCUAGCGUUGUUCGGAAUUACUGGGCGUAAAGCGCGCGUAGGCGGCUACUCAAGUCGGGGGUGAAAGCCCGGGGCUCAACCCCGGAACUGCCCUCGAAACUAGGUAGCUAGAAUCUUGGAGAGGCGAGUGGAAUUCCGAGUGUAGAGGUGAAAUUCGUAGAUAUUCGGAAGAACACCAGUGGCGAAGGCGACUCGCUGGACAAGUAUUGACGCUGAGGUGCGAAAGCGUGGGGAGCAAACA
rnacentral:rRNA from 1 species